AGAAAAAAGGGUGAAAGCAGUGCUGCGCACCAGAUUCGGAGACAUUGGAGAUUUGGCCGAUGAAAAGGUGGCUUUAGAGAGAAGAAAGGGUGAAAGCAGUGCCGCGCACCAGAUCUGGCAACGUUGGAGAUCUGGCCGACGAAAAGGUGGCUUUAGAGAGAAGAGAGAAGAGGAGAAGGGUGCGACGCCAGCAGGGAGAAAGGAGAAAAAGAGAAAGAGAAAGAAAGAAAGAGGAAAAAGAAAGAAGAAGCCAG
rnacentral:lncRNA from 1 species